GCAGUCGAGCGAACUGAUUAGAAGCUUGCUUCUAUGACGUUAGCGGCGGACGGGUGAGUAACACGUGGGCAACCUGCCUGUAAGACUGGGAUAACUCCGGGAAACCGGAGCUAAUACCGGAUAACAUUUUCUCUUGCAUAAGAGAAAAUUGAAAGAUGGUUUCGGCUAUCACUUACAGAUGGGCCCGCGGUGCAUUAGCUAGUUGGUGAGGUAACGGCUCACCAAGGCAACGAUGCAUAGCCGACCUGAGAGGGUGAUCGGCCACACUGGGACUGAGACACGGCCCAGACUCCUACGGGAGGCAGCAGUAGGGAAUCUUCCGCAAUGGACGAAAGUCUGACGGAGCAACGCCGCGUGAGUGAUGAAGGCUUUCGGGUCGUAAAACUCUGUUGUUAGGGAAGAACAAGUACAAGAGUAACUGCUUGUACCUUGACGGUACCUAACCAGAAAGCCACGGCUAACUACGUGCCAGCAGCCGCGGUAAUACGUAGGUGGCAAGCGUUAUCCGGAAUUAUUGGGCGUAAAGCGCGCGCAGGCGGUUUCUUAAGUCUGAUGUGAAAGCCCACGGCUCAACCGUGGAGGGUCAUUGGAAACUGGGGAACUUGAGUGCAGAAGAGAAAAGCGGAAUUCCACGUGUAGCGGUGAAAUGCGUAGAGAUGUGGAGGAACACCAGUGGCGAAGGCGG
rnacentral:rRNA from 2 species